rnacentral:rRNA from 1 species
AUUGAACGCUGGCGGCAUGCUUUACACAUGCAAGUCGAACGGCAGCACGGGGGCAACCCUGGUGGCGAGUGGCGAACGGGUGAGUAAUGCAUCGGAACGUGCCCUGUCGUGGGGGAUAACACAUCGAAAGAUGUGCUAAUACCGCAUACGACCUGAGGGUGAAAGCGGGGGACCGUAAGGCCUCGCGCGAUAGGAGCGGCCGAUGUCUGAUUAGCUAGUUGGGGGGGUAAAGGCCUACCAAGGCGACGAUCAGUAGCUGGUCUGAGAGGACGACCAGCCACACUGGGACUGAGACAGGGGCUGGUCUCCUAGGGGAGGCAGCAGUGGGGAAUUUUGGACAAUGGGGGCAACCCUGAUGCAGCCAUGCCGCGUGCGGGUAGAAGGCCUUCGGGUUGUAAACCGCUUUUGGCAGGAACGAAACGGUGCGGGCGAAUACCCUGUGCUAAUGACGGUACCUGCAGAAUAAGCACCGGCUAACUACGUGCCAGCCGCCGCGGUAACAC